UGGUUCAACAUUAAUAUUAAUUUCAUAUUCUCAGUUGAAUGUACUGAUUAAAUGAUUUAGGCUGUUAUAGUUUAUAAACACCGAAUAUAACUUAUUAUCUUAAUUAAUACAAUUAGAUUAGCUAUUAUCUAAACCAUCAAUACAAUUUAAAAAACAUUUAGUACCAAAAUGGUUUGUAGUACUACAUUUCAAAAUACGGGCACAAAUAUCAUUGUUAUUUACAUUUCAGUAAUAAUCGGGACUGUCCGGUACAGUCUUUCCCCGUCGACUCUCCUAACUUAUCGCUUUUUCAAUUAUCAAUACGAAUAUAGACUGUGCCAAAUGUUCAGUGAGAUUAAAAGGU